rnacentral:rRNA from 1 species
AACGAACGCUGGCGGCAUGCCUAACACAUGCAAGUCGAACGAGACCUUCGGGUCUAGUGGCGCACGGGUGCGUAACGCGUGGGAAUCUGCCCUUAGGUUCGGAAUAACUCAGGGAAACUUGAGCUAAUACCGGAUGAUGACUUCGGUCCAAAGAUUUAUCGCCUAGGGAUGAGCCCGCGUCGGAUUAGCUUGUUGGUGAGGUAAAAGCUCACCAAGGCGACGAUCCGUAGCUGGUCUGAGAGGAUGAUCAGCCACGCUGGGACUGAGACACGGCCCAGACUCCUACGGGAGGCAGCAGUGGGGAAUAUUGGACAAUGGGCGAAAGCCUGAUCCAGCAAUGCCGCGUGAGUGAUGAAGGCCUUAGGGUUGUAAAGCUCUUUUACCCGGGAUUGAUAAUGACAGUACCGGGAGAAUAAGCCCCGGCUAACUCCGUGCCAGCAGCCGCGGUAAUACAGAGGGGGCUAGCGUUGUUCGGAAUUACUGGGCGUAAAGCGCACGGU